rnacentral:tmRNA from 1 species
GGGGGCGACCUGGUUUCGACGUGGGUAGCAAAACCCGAGGUGCAUGCCGAGGCGCAGUUCCCUCGUAAAUCCAGCUGCAAACAAAGUUAGUUGCCAACGACGACAACUACGCCCUAGCAGCUUAAUCGCAGCUAGCCUCUGCCUGGUCAUGUGCUUGUGCAUCCAGUAACAGGGGUCGACUCUCACAAGAUCGUGGAGAGGCCCGCCCGGGACCAAACCACUAAAACCCUUACCGGGCUCGCGGUCCAUCUNCCCCGCCGAUCGGGUAGUGGCCCGUCAAAUCAAAAGCAUCGGCUAAGCAUGUAGAGCCAAAGGCGGAGUGCUUGCGGACGCGGGUUCGAUUCCCGCCGCCUCCACCA